rnacentral:rRNA from 1 species
CCUACGGGUCGCACCAGUGGGGAAUAUUGCACAAUGGGCGCAAGCCUGAUGCAGCCAUGCCGCGCGUAUGAAGAAGGCCUUAGGGUUGUAAAGUACUUUCAGUUGGGAGGAAGGCGUUGAUGCUAGUAUCAUCAACGAUUGACGUUACCAACAGAAGAAGCACCGGCUAACUCCGUGCCAGCAGCCGCGGUAAUACGGAGGGCGCAAGCGUUAAUCGGAAUUACUGGGCGUAAAACGCACGCAGGCGGUUGAUUAAGUUAGAUGUGAAAUCCCCGGGCUUAACCUGGGAAUGGCAUCUAAGACUGGUCAGCUAGAGUCUUGUAGAGGGGGGUAGAAUUCCAUGUGUAGCGGUGAAAUGCGUAGAGAUGUGGAGGAAUACCGGUGGCGAAGGCGGCCCCCUGGACAAAGACUGACGCUCAGGUGCGAAAGCGUGGGGAGCAAACAGGAUUAGAUACCCGAGUAGUC